UACGUAGGGUGCAAGCGUUAUCCGGAUUCCCUGGGUUUAAAGGGUUCGUAGGUGGUUUGGUCAGUCAGUGGUGAAAUCUCCGAGCUUAACUUGGAAACUGCCAUUGAUACUAUUAAUCUUGAAUAGUGUGGAGGUCAGCGGAAUAUGUCAUGUAGCGGUGAAAUGCUUAGAGAUGACAUAGAACACCAAUUGCGAAGGCAGCUGGCUACACAUAUAUUGACACUGAGGCACGAAAGCGUGGGGAGCAAACAGG
rnacentral:rRNA from 1 species